rnacentral:rRNA from 1 species
CGGUUAAUCGGACUCAACGCCGGGAAACUCACCAGAUAAGACAGCUGAAUGAUAGUCGGGCUGAAGACUCUACUUGACUAGCUGAGAGGAGGUGCAUGGCCGUCGUCAGUUCGUACUGUGAAGCAUCCUGUUAAGUCAGGCAACGAGCGAGACCCACGCCAACAGUUGCCAGCUCGUCCUCCGGGAUGGUGGGGACACUGUUGGGACCGCCUCUGCUAAAGAGGAGGAAGGAAUGGGCAACGGUAGGUCAGCAUGCCCCGAAUUAUCUGGGCUACACGCGGGCUACAAUGGGUGGGACAAUGGGUAUCGACACCGAAAGGUGAAGGCAAUCUCCUAAACCCAUCCGUAGUUCGGAUUGUGGGCUGCAACUCGCCCACAUGAAGCUGGAAUCUGUAGUAAUCGUGUCUCAAAAUGGCACGGUGAAUAUGUCCCUGCUCCUU